rnacentral:rRNA from 1 species
CAGCAGCCGCGGUAAUACGUAGGGUGCGAGCGUUAAUCGGAAUUACUGGGCGUAAAGCGUGCGCAGGCGGUUCGUUAAGACAGAUGUGAAAUCCCCGGGCUCAACCUGGGAACUGCAUUUGUGACUGUAUAGCUAGAGUACGGCAGAGGGGGAUGGAAUUCCGCGUGUAGCAGUGAAAUGCGUAGAUAUGCGGAGGAACACCGAUGGCGAAGGCAAUCCCCUGGGCCUGUACUGACGCUCAUGCACGAAAGCGUGGGGAGCAAACAGGAUUAGAUACCCCAGUAGUCCCUGUCUCUUAUAC